CCUACGGGUUGCACCAGUGGGAAUAUUGCACAAUGGGCGCAAGCCUGAUGCAGCCAUGCCGCGUGUAUGAAGAAGGCCUUCGGGUUGUAAAGUACUUUCAGCGGGGAGGAAGGUGUAGUGGUUAAUAACCACAGCAAUUGGCGUUACCCGCAGAAGAAGCACCGGCUAACUCCGUGCCAGCAGCCGCGGUAAUACGGAGGGUGCAAGCGUUAAUCGGAAUUACUGGGCGUAAAGCGCACGCAGGCGGUCUGUCAAGUCGGAUGUGAAAUCCCCGGGCUCAACCUGGGAACUGCAUUCGAAACUGGCAGGCUAGAGUCUUGUAGAGGGGGGUAGAAUUCCAGGUGUAGCGGUGAAAUGCGUAGAGAUCUGGAGGAAUACCGGUGGCGAAGGCGGCCCCCUGGACAAAGACUGACGCUCAGGUGCGAAAGCGUGGGGAGCAAACAGGAUUAGAUACCCUCGUAGUC
rnacentral:rRNA from 1 species